rnacentral:rRNA from 1 species
UUACAAAAACACAGGACUCUGCCAACUCGCAAGAGGACGUAUAGAGUCUGACGCCUGCUCGGUGUCGGUAGGUUAAGGGAGCCGGUGACCGCAAGGGCAGCUGGCGACCGAAGCCCCGAUAAACGGCGGCCGUAACUAUGACGGUCCUAAGGUAGCGAAGUUCCUUGUCGGGUAAGUUCCGACCUGCAUGAAUGGCGUAACGACUGGAGCGCUGUCUCCACGGGGGACCCGGUGAAACUGUAGCCGUGGUGAAGAUGCCACGUACCCGCGGUCAGACGGAAAGACCCCGUGAACCUUUACUGCAGGUUGGCACUGGCUCAGCGUGUAUUCUGUGUAGGAUAGGUGGGGAGGCUAUGAUCUGGCGGCGCUAGCCGUCAGGGAGCCAACGGUGAAAUACCACCCUGAAUGGACGUUGAUCCUCACCGAUCCGUAGCCCGGAUCGGGGACCGUGCUCAUCGGGCAGUUUGACUGGGGCGGUCUCCUCCCAAAUGGUAACGGAGGAGUGCAAUGGUACCCUCGGCCCGGUCGGCAAUCGGGCAACACGAGC